ensembl:ncRNA asRNA:CR45951 antisense RNA:CR45951
GUGGGCGAGCUUAAAAAAAAACGUAAACAAAGUUUUUGUGCGCACGCAACAAAGGAACAGAGUGGGGUAGGAUGUGAUUCGCGUUGGUCCUUGUCAGGGGUGUUUCUGCUAUUGAUUGCGUAGACGACAAACAGGGUGUUGUUCGAGCAGUCUUUACUAUGGUAUACAAUUUAAAAGUAGUCAACAAACAAAAAGGACCCGUCGGGCCGACGUACAACGAUGACGAAGGAUUAGCCGAACCAGUGGGCUCCCAUGCAGUCGCGUGUCCACUCAGUCUGGCAGACCCAGCACCACUCGAAUCCGCAGCCAGCGCGUGUGCAGACCAUGUGCAUGCAACCGCCUGGUAGGAAGAGAAGAAGACGGUAUGGAUGUGUUACAAACUGCGUCUUGGGUGUCUUCGAUGCUCGCCCAACUCACCAUCUCGCUCCGUGGGGGUUCUGCAUUUUGGACAGGGCUUUGUGCUGACUUUGAUGGUGACAUUGCUGGCCUCAUCCCAUCGCGCCUCGGCAGCUCGCUAAAAAAGCACAUGAUUACACAAGCGGGAAUGGGCCGUAUAAGAGCCAACUCACAUUUGGGUCCACGGUGUACUCGCAGGAGUUUGUGGCACUGGCGCCCGUCCCCUCGGGCAGACACUCCCCGAUAUGGUAGCCCUGCAGACAAUUGCGGCAGAACACGUAUCCACAGCCGUUCUGGCAUGUCACCUUGCGACAAUCGGGCUCCACCAAAAGGCCCAUGCCGCAUCCUGGCUGGGGGCAGAGUACUCCACCUGCCUGUAGGACAUACUCCUCGGUGGCGAAUCUCUGGUACCGAUCGUACUCCUCGCGUGUCAACAGCUUGAAGUGAUGAAUCUCCUCGAUGAACGAGUGCUCGCAGCCUGCGGGACAGGGCAAGGUGUAGCCGAAGUCCGGAUGCGGCAUAAACUGACGCUCGCCCAAACGGGAACGGCAAUAAUGGCGGAAGCAGUCGAUACAGGUGACGUGCUGCGAUGCGCAGGGGAAAACCAACACGGUAUCACUGCGAACAUAAUAAGGCCAGGCAAGGAACAUUCUUGAUGUUAUUCUUGAUUAGAUUCAAUGGAGCCGCAAAAUCCUUCUCCCCGCCGGAGACAUGCUCAGCACACUUGAAGAAGAAUUCAGCGAAGGGCGGAUCGCCAGCCGCGUUGUCCACGCAGGCCACCUCCAGACUUUCACAAUGACCGGGAAUUCUACGCGACUUCAAGACAUCAUCCCAACACUCCGGAUCACGAUGGACAGUAAAGGCGCCGCCCUUGCAUAAAGCGCAGCGGACCCGAAGUUUGCCAUUACACAGCUUAUCGCAUUGGCUGCAAUGUACAAAGAAAUGCGCUUUGGCACGGACUCUUUCUGGAGAGGAUACGACGGG